rnacentral:lncRNA from 1 species
CCUAUCUCGAUGUCCCCAUCCCCAUAUCCCUGUCCCCAUGUCCCUGUGUCCCCCCAUCCCCAUCUCAAUGUCCCUGUCCCCAUAUCCCUGUGUCCCCAUGUCCCCCUGUCCCCCUGUCCCUGUCCCCAUAUCCCCCCGCCCCCCGUCCCCAUCCCCGUGUCCCCCCCCCCGGUACCGUCGGGCUCGGGCUCGUCCUCGUCCCCCAGGUCGAUCUCGUCGGGGUUCCCCUGCUGGGACAGCGCGGCCACGGCCUCCCGCGGGCCCUCGGCCCUGGGGGCGCCGUCAGCACCGGGGGGGGGGCACCCAGGGGUGGGGGGGGGCAGCACCCACCUCACCGAGGGGACCCCGGGGUGGGGAGGGGACGCGGGGAGGGGACGCGGCACCCAAGGGGGGUGACAGCGGGGGGGUCCCGGGGAGGUGACACCCAAGGGUGACACGGGGUGGGGGGGUCCGGGGGGGCACCCACCUGACGAAGAGGACCCUGUCCUUGGGGCGGGGGGCGUCGCGCUGCGCCUCGGCCGCCAGCUGCUCCGCGCGCUGCUCCAGCAGCUUCAUGUCAUCCAGCCCGCUCUGCCCCGGGGCCAGGUCCGACACUGCCACAUGGCACAGGGUCACCGUGUCACCAUGUCACCGUGUCACCGUGUCACCAGGGCACCGGGUCACCGUGUCACCGUGUCACCGUGUCACCGGGGCACCAGGGCACUGUGUCACCACGUGUCCCCAGCACCCCCGGUCCCCUCCACCCCUGUGUCCCUCCACCCCCAGGUCCCCCCGUCCCCUCUGUCUCCACCUCCCCUCUGUCCCCUUGUCCCCGUGUCCCCUCUGUCCCUGUGUCCCCCCAUCCCCAUCUCAAUGUCCCUGUCCCCAUAUCCCUGUGUCCCCAUGUCCCCCUGUCCCCCUGUCCCUGUCCCCAUAUCCCCCCGCCCCCCGUCCCCAUCCCCGUGUCCCCCCCCCCGGUACCGUCGGGCUCGGGCUCGUCCUCGUCCCCCAGGUCGAUCUCGUCGGGGUUCCCCUGCUGGGACAGCGCGGCCACGGCCUCCCGCGGGCCCUCGGCCCUGGGGGCGCCGUCAGCACCGGGGGGGGGGCACCCAGGGGUGGGGGGGGGCAGCACCCACCUCACCGAGGGGACCCCGGGGUGGGGAGGGGACGCGGGGAGGGGACGCGGCACCCAAGGGGGGUGACAGCGGGGGGGUCCCGGGGAGGUGACACCCAAGGGUGACACGGGGUGGGGGGGUCCGGGGGGGCACCCACCUGACGAAGAGGACCCUGUCCUUGGGGCGGGGGGCGUCGCGCUGCGCCUCGGCCGCCAGCUGCUCCGCGCGCUGCUCCAGCAGCUUCAUGUCAUCCAGCCCGCUCUGCCCCGGGGCCAGGUCCGACACUGCCACAUGGCACAGGGUCACCGUGUCACCAUGUCACCGUGUCACCGUGUCACCAGGGCACCGGGUCACCGUGUCACCGUGUCACCGUGUCACCGGGGCACCAGGGCACUGUGUCACCACGUGUCCCCAGCACCCCCGGUCCCCUCCACCCCUGUGUCCCUCCACCCCCAGGUCCCCCCGUCCCCUCUGUCUCCACCUCCCCUCUGUCCCCUUGUCCCCGUGUCCCCUCUGUCCCCUUGUCCCCGUGUCCCCUCUGUCCCCUCCAGCCCCAUGUCCCUUGGUGCUCCCUGGACCCCCGUAGGUGCCCUCCAGCCCCCCAAAGAUGCCCCCAA